rnacentral:lncRNA from 1 species
AUAUUUUGAAACAAAGGUAUGUUAACUUCUUCAUUUGAAGGAUAAGCUGGUUUGUGUUAAGUAUAAUAAUUGGUUGGGUCAUUUGCAUCAUAUUCGUUAGCAUUUAUUGGUGGCAGAGUGUUUGCCUAGGUACAGAAGUAAUAGCCCUUAGCAACGACUGCUGCUGGUGUGUAUUUUUGUAAAUGUUAUGCACUCACUGAAAGGAAAAAAAAAACACACAAAAGAAAGUGACUUUUUUUUUUUUUUGCCAAGGCCAGUGUUGCUGCCUAAAAAAAAAAUGAUGCUAUAAAAUGGUGAGAGCUUCUUUCUGAACAGCCCCAAGUGUUGGAGUCUUCACUUUAUUUUGUUCAGUUUUGUUCUGUUUUUUUGUUUUUGUUUUUGUUUUCUGUUUCCUUUGCAAAAUGGUAAGGGGUGUUGGGGUGGUGGGUGUUUUUGUUGCAAGUUGGUGAGGGAAAAUGUUUUUGGUUUGUUUCUACUGACCUGAAUGUGUUGGAUCUUCACGUGUUGUUUUGUUUUUGCUUUAUUGAUGCACGGAUGCUUUUUGAACAGUAGAGCGAAAUGCUAGACAUGGAGAAUCUGCUCUGUUUGUCCUUUAUACAUUUCUGUAGUUAACAGAACACUGUAAUGUGCCUUGGAGCUUAGUAACUUGUAAUAAAUUCAAUUGAUAUUAAUUCUGCCCCGAGUCAGCAAGUGUGUUUUUCCAGGGCUAAGACUGCACAGCUGCACCAGCAGGGACAGCGCCUCACUACUUCCGACAGACAGAGAGUACAGCCGCGCACCGGUGCCUUUGAAAGCCCUCAGCGGUGGCCUCUGUAGAAGGCCCAGUGCUGGCUGACCGCUCCUCCCCUUCUGUACCAGGCUAUUUACAUUCACCUCUGGGGCGGGACAGUUGCUGACUAAGCGAUCUCUGUUUACUCUUCAGCAUCUCUGCUUCCCCACCCCCGCCAUGCGCACCCCAGCUGCAAAUGACUUUGUCAGGGAUGCUUUUUUGGUCCCUUGCCCUGUGGCCCCGAGUAUAUGCUGAUACCCAGUGCAGCUGUGACUUAAGGAAGUGGGAUGAGGGAAAGCAGAAAAAAAACUGGGGUGCUUUGCCUCCUAGAUGUGGCAGAAAUCACUGUUGUCGCACAUUUAAAGCAAAAAGUGCCAUGGAGUUGGGAGCCGGCAGCAGGGCUGUGGAAGUGGGAAACAUCCAUUGUACUCAGGAGAGUUCUAGCAGCUUCCAGUUCUGCACUGGAAGCAGUUUCACUUCAUUCGUGAUACGUUUCCUUCUCACCGCCCCACAUCCCCCCCUCCCCGCCCCGCUUUUGACGAUGAUUUUUAAAGCAGAACACCUAGUUGGUUGCAGAGUGGGAGAGAGAAGGGGGGAAAAACCCAAACCCUGUUCCUGGGGCAGUGGUGGCUUAUGA